CGGGGUGGAGUAAUGUCUGGGAAACGUGCCUGAUGGAGGGGGAUAACUACUGGAAACGGUAGCUAAUACCGCAUAACGUCGCAAGACCAAAGAGGGGGACCGUUCGGGCCUCUUGCCAUCGGAUGUGCCCAGAUGGGAUUAGCUAGUAGGUGGGGUAACGGCUCACCUAGGCGACGAUCCCUAGCUGGUCUGAGAGGAUGACCAGCCACACUGGAACUGAGACACGGUCCAG
rnacentral:rRNA from 1 species